UUCCUCUCAGGGUCGCAACUGGAGAGUUUCCAGUACUCUUCCAGUCUCGGCUACAGGAGGGAGAAUCAAGCAGAGGCAUAUCCAUGCCAUUCCUAGCUGGGUCAGUAGCUAGUGAGAGGAAGGCAAUUUGCUACAAGU